ACGAACGCUGGCGGCGCGCCUAACACAUGCAAGUCGAACGGAGCUUAGAGAGCUUGCUUUUUAAGCUUAGUGGCGAACGGGUGAGUAACGCGUGAGUAACCUGCCCUAGAGUGGGGGACAACAGUUGGAAACGACUGCUAAUACCGCAUAAGCCCACGGUACCGCAUGGUACUGAGGGAAAAGGAUUUAUUCGCUUUAGGAUGGACUCGCGUCCAAUUAGCUAGUUGGUGAGGUAACGGCCCACCAAGGCGACGAUUGGUAGCCGGACUGAGAGGUUGAACGGCCACAUUGGGACUGAGACACGGCCCAGACUCCUACGGGAGGCAGCAGUGGGGGAUAUUGCACAAUGGGGGAAACCCUGAUGCAGCGACGCCGCGUGGAGGAAGAAGGUUUUCGGAUUGUAAACUCCUGUCGUUAGGGACGAUAAUGACGGUACCUAACAAGAAAGCACCGGCUAACUACGUGCCAGCAGCCGCGGUAAAACGUAGGGUGCAAGCGUUGUCCGGAAUUACUGGGUGUAAAGGGAGCGCAGGCGGGAAGACAAGUUGGAAGUGAAAACCAUGGGCUCAACCCAUGAAUUGCUUUCAAAACUGUUUUUCUUGAGUAGUGCAGAGGUAGAUGGAAUUCCCGGUGUAGCGGUGGAAUGCGUAGAUAUCGGGAGGAACACCAGUGGCGAAGGCGGUCUACUGGGCACCAACUGACGCUGAGGCUCGAAAGCAUGGGUAGCAAACAGGAUUAGAUACCCUGGUAGUCCAUGCCGUAAACGAUGAUUACUAGGUGUUGGGGGAUUGACCCCCUCAGUGCCGCAGUUAACACAAUAAGUAAUCCACCUGGGGAGUACGACCGCAAGGUUGAAACUCAAAGGAAUUGACGGGGGCCCGCACAAGCAGUGGAGUAUGUGGUUUAAUUCGAAGCAACGCGAAGAACCUUACCAGGUCUUGACAUCCGAUGCAUAGCACAGAGAUGUGUGAAAUCCUUCGGGACAUCGAGACAGGUGGUGCAUGGUUGUCGUCAGCUCGUGCCGUGAGGUGUCGGCUUAAGUGCCAUAACGAGCGCAACCCUUAUCGAUAGUUACCAUCAGGUGAUGCUGGGGACUCUGUCGAGACUGCCGUCGUAAGAUGUGAGGAAGGUGGGGAUGACGUCAAAUCAUCAUGCCCUUUAUGACCUGGGCUACACACGUACUACAAUGGCGUUAAACAAAGAGAAGCAAGACCGCGAGGUGGAGCAAAACUCAAAAACAACGUCUCAGUUCAGAUUGCAGGCUGCAACUCGCCUGCAUGAAGUCGGAAUUGCUAGUAAUCGCGGAUCAGCAUGCCGCGGUGAAUACGUUCCCGGGCCUUGUACACACCGCCCGUCACACCAUGGGAGUGGGUUGCAAAAGAAGUAGGUAGCUUAACCUUCGGGAGGGCGCUUACCACUUUGUGAUUCAUGACUGGGGUG
rnacentral:rRNA from 1 species